rnacentral:rRNA from 1 species
UACGGAGGGAGCUAGCGUUGUUCGGAUAUACUGGGCGUAAAGCGCACGUAGGCGGCGCAGCAAGUCAGGGGUGAAAUCCCAGAGCUCAACUCCGGAACUGCCUUUGAAACUGCAGUGCUAGAAUCCUGGAGAGGCGAGUGGAAUUCCGAGUGUAGAGGUGAAAUUCGUAGAUAUUCGGAAGAACACCAGUGGCGAAGGCGACUCGCUGGACAGGUAUUGACGCUGAGGUGCGAAAGCGUGGGGAGCAAACAGG